GACGAACGCUGGCGGCGCGCCUAACACAUGCAAGUCGAACGGAGCGUACGAGUGGAUCCCUUCGGGGUGACGCAUGUAUUUGCUUAGUGGCGAACGGGUGAGUAACACGUGAGUAAUCUGCCUUCGAGUGGGGGACAACAUCCGGAAACGGAUGCUAAUACCGCAUAAGACCACGGUACCGCAUGGUACAGCGGCCAAAGGAGCAAUUCGCUUGAAGAUGAACUCGCGCCUGAUUAGAUAGUUGGUGGGGUAAUGGCUCACCAAGUCUGCGAUCAGUAGCCGGACUGAGAGGUCGAUCGGCCACAUUGGGACUGAGACACGGCCCAGACUCCUACGGGAGGCAGCAGUGGGGAAUAUUGCACAAUGGGCGAAAGCCUGAUGCAGCGACGCCGCGUGAGGGAAGAAGGUUUUCGGAUUGUAAACCUCUGUCUUCGGGGACGAUAAUGACGGUACCCGAGGAGGAAGCCACGGCUAACUACGUGCCAGCCGCCGCCGUAAAAC
rnacentral:rRNA from 1 species